AUGGCGGGAAGGCUGUCACAGAGGGACCGUGGCCCCGCCGGCUGCGCCAAGGCCAAGAGUGACUGGGACACCGUGACGCUGCUGUGCAAGAAGGGCCCACGGCCGCCCAGGCCAAGUCCAAGCAGGCCAUCUUAGCGGCUCCGAGACAAGGAGAAGAUGUGGAGACUUCCGAGAAAUGGGCUGCCGACCAGAACAAACAGCACUCGAUCACCAAGAACACAGCCAAGCUGGACCGGGAGACGGAGGGGCUGCACCAUGACAGGGUGACCCUGGAAGUGGGCAAAGUCAUCCAGCAGGGCCGGCAGAGCAAGGGGCUCAUGCAGAAGGACCUGGCCAUGAAAAUCAACGAAAAGCCACAAGUGAUCGCAGACUAUGAGAGUGGACGGGCCAUUCCCAAUAACCAGGUUCUGGGCAAAAUCGAGAGGGCCAUUGGCCUCAAGCUCCAGGGGAAGGACAUUGGAAAGCCCAUCGAGAAGGGGCCCAGGGCGAAGUGAGCACAAAGCCUCGAAA